CCCCUCUUGGGAUUGCAGCUGGAGAGUUUCCAGCACUCUACCAGUCUAGGGGAGGGAGAGUCAAGCAGAGGCAUAACCAUUCCAUUCCUAGCUUGGGCAGUGGCUAGCAAGUGGAAGGCAAUCUGCUACAAGU